AACGAACGCUGGCGGCAUGCCUAACACAUGCAAGUCGAACGAGACCUUCGGGUCUAGUGGCGCACGGGUGCGUAACGCGUGGGAACCUGCCCUUAGGUUCGGCAUAACUCCCCGAAAGGGGUGCUAAUACCGGAUAAUGUCUUCGGACCAAAGAUUUAUCGCCUUUGGAUGGGCCCGCGUUGGAUUAGCUAGUUGGUAGGGUAAAAGCCUACCAAGGCGACGAUCCAUAGCUGGUCUGAGAGGAUGAUCAGCCACACUGGGACUGAGACACGGCCCAGACUCCUACGGGAGGCAGCAGUGGGGAAUAUUGGACAAUGGGCGAAAGCCUGAUCCAGCAAUGCCGCGUGAGUGAUGAAGGCCUUAGGGUUGUAAAGCUCUUUUACCCGGGAUGAUAAUGACGGUACCGGGAGAAUAAGCUCCGGCUAACUCCGUG
rnacentral:rRNA from 1 species